CCUCAGAAAAAUCCUGAAUUUUCCUUCCAAAAUCCCCAAUUUUUCCUUUCAAAAUCUCCCAUUUUUCCUCAAAAAAUCCCAUUUUUUUUCCCUUUUUCCCCCACUUUCCCUCAUUUGGGGGGGGGGGGGGGGGGGGGGGGGGGGGGGGGGGGGGGGGGGGGGGGGGGGGGGGGGGGGGGGGGGUUUUUUUUCCCUCAUUUUCCCCUUUUUGCUCAUUUUGGUUUUUUGCCCAUUUUUCCCAUUUUUUCCCAUUUUUCCCCCUCAGGAGGAGCGAUCCCGCAGCGAGCACAACCUGGUGAACAUCCAGAAAACGCACGAGCGGAUGCAGACCGAGAACAAAAUCUCUCCCUAUUACAGGACCAAGCUCCGGGGUCUCUACACCACGGCCAAGGCCGACGCCGAGGCCGAGUGCAAGUGAGUCCAGAACUCCCCAAAAUCCCCUUUUUGCCCCAAAAUUCCCUUUUUCCCCUCAAAUUCCCAAUUUUUCCCAUUUCUAACAUUUUUUUCCCGGUUAAAUUCCCAUUUUCCCCUCAAAUUUCUCCUUUUUUCCUGUAAAAAUCCCAUUUUUUCCCCAUUAAAUUUCAAUUUUUUUCCAUUUUUUUCCCCAUUAAAUUCCCUUUUUUUUCUCAAAUUUUUGCUUUUUUCUCUCAAAUUCUCAUUUUUUCCUUAUAUUCCCAUUUUUUUCUCAAAUUCCCAUUUUUCCUUUUUUCUCCAUUAAUUUCCAUUUUUUCUCCAUUAAUUUCCAUUUUUUCCCCAUUAAAUUCCCAUUUUUCCCCAUUAAAUUCCCAUUUUUUCCUCAAAUUCCCAUUUUUCCUUAAAUUCCCAUUUCUCUCAAAUUCCCUUUUUCCCCAUUAUUUUCCCAUUAAAUUCCCUUUUUUUUCCUAAAAAUUCCCUUUUUUACCUCAAAAUUUCCCCUUUU
rnacentral:lncRNA from 12 species